UAUUACUUUUUAUUAGUGCAAAUGCUGUAAAGCGUUGGAUACUGGGUUUGUCAUUUAGUCCACGCCAAGUUAAAUUAACGGCCAUAGCAUUCGAUAUAAUGGAUAAUGCCAUUCUCAGGAAUGAAGGGAAAUCCUUUCCUCCAACUUUAUAUAUGAUAUUUUUCUAAAAUUAAAUAUGUUCCAAAUAUACAAAUUUAUUCAUAAUUAUGGGCAUUUCCCACCAAACACUGUCUCUAACGUUAGAGAAAAAGCUAGAUUUUACAUUAGAAUUCUAAUAUAGUUUUCUAAUGUUUCUCGAAUCGAAUUCAAGCUUAGAGAACAACAUUAGAAUUUGAUUAUAGAAUGAUUAGAGAAACACUCGAAAUGCACUGUCGAUAUAAAUGAUAGUUAUCGAAUACAAUAAGUGUCUGCUGAGUCGCUCAUUCCUAGUGUCAAAUAAAAAUAAUACGUGCGAAAAGAAAGUGCUUUAAAUUUUUUUAGGCGGUUAUUAUUAUUACAAAAUUACGGGUAAAUAUAAUUUUUAAAUGUAUAAAAAAAAGUUAAAGAGAGAAAGCGAGCAGAUUGUGGACAUGCUGUUUGAUUAUCGUGAGUUAAGGAAUGAAACCCACGAUGCACUUGAGUCAGAUGCAGAUUCGCCGCCAGCUCUUAAAGAAUUGCGAAGUGACAAUAUCGAAUGUGAUUCAAGCGGCAGUGAAUCCGAAAAAGAGUUUAGUGAAUCAAAUGAUGACAUAGAUAGUGCUUCUGAUGGUGAAAAUUGAAGUUUGCCACAGGACUUAACCGAAUGGACAAUUAAACAUAAUAUUACGACUUCUGCGACGGACGACUUAUUGAAAAUUUUAGCAAAGUAUGUUUCAGGACUUCCGUUAUGCUCUAGAACUUUAAGAAAUACACCAAAAGAAAUACCUAAAGUAACAAUGGGUUCGGGAGAAUAUGUACAUUACGGCGUUGAAGGAGCUUUGACCGAUUUUUUAAAUCAGAAUGACUUCAAUGAUACCCGGUUGGACUUAAACUUUAAUAUUGAUGGGCUUCCACUGGCAAAAAGUUCUAACCUUCAGGUGUGGCCAAUUCUAAUUAAUGUAAACGGGUGGGACGAUGUGAAGGUUAUUGGAGUGUAUUGUGGGAAUAGCAAGUCAGCAAGCGCAAACGAAUUUCUUACAAGAUUUGUAGAUGAACUACUUAUUUUAAUGGAAAACGGAAUAUUUUUUAACGGAAAACAUUACUCUGUAAAUUGUCGAGCUUUUAUAUGUGACGCACCUGCGCGAGCGUUUAUCCUUGGUAUCAAAGGUCAUUGUGGAUAUUCGUGUUGUCCUAAAUGCAUACAGAAAGGCCAGUCUAAAAAUCACAAAAUAAUUUUUGUUAAAGAAAAUAGUCUUCCUCGAACUGAUACCGAUUUUCGUGCUCGUGUUGAUAGAGCCCAUCAUGUAAUUUUAGAACCAAUGGUAAUUGAAAAGCUUCCAAUAGAUAUUGUUAAAUCGUUUGCUUUGGAUUACAUGCAUGUAGUCUGUCUACGAGUUACAAAGACUUUAUUGUUGGCCUGGAUAAAAAAACGUAAAAAACCUUAUUCACUUAAACAGAAACAAAUUCAAGCAUUAGAUUCAAGAAUAAUGUUUAUUUGCAAUCAGGUGCCGCGAGAGUUUGCUAGGCACCCACGUUCUUUGAAAGAUGUUGAGCGGUUUAAAGCCACAGAGUUUAGGUGCUUUCUUCCCUAUACUGGAAUAUUUUUACUAAAAGAAGUUUUAGAUCCAGUAAACUAUAACCAUUUUUUGCUUCUUUCACUAAGCAUUAGGAUUCUUUUAAGUCAAAGUAAUUAUAUUAAAUACAAUAGAUGUGCUAGUCAAAUGCUGGAAAAAUUCGUAGAACUUGUGCCUCAGUAUUACGAUGAUGAUUUCCUUUUCAUUGCUUAACACAUCUCGCAAGUGAUACCGUAAAUUUUGGAUGUCUUGAAUCUUUUAGUGCAUUUAAAUUUGAAAAUUACUUAUGGAAAUUGAAAAGAAAGAUAAAAAAGCAUAACCAUGUCGUCUCACAAGUAUACAAUCGUUUAGUUGAGGACAGUUUUAGGUCAAACAAUACUAUGAAUCCAUCGACUGAAAUUAAAAAAGGAAAAUUUAGAAAUGAUUCAUUAAUAUUUGUACAAUCUUCAAAGUUUUACUUUUCGCCGAAAGAACCUGAUAACUUUUACAGCGUUAAGUGCAAAAUAUUUAAAUUAGUAGCUAUAAAUAAGGCCACAAAGCUACUUGGAAAGGAAGUUCUGAAUUUACAGGAUUAUUUUGAAACACCUAUCUCAUCAGGAAUUCUCAAUAUCAAGUCAUGUGAAGUCCUAAAAAUUUCGUCUUCCGUCUAUCAUCACAACUUAGAUGAAAUAUCAGAAAAAAUUAUAAAAUUUAGUAACUAAGAGUCUAACAUCAACUUGUUCAUUCUUUUCCUUCAUUAUUUUUUUUUUUUGAUAUUUAAAUAUUUGUAAGCAUUAAGAACAUAUAAACGUACAUAAAUUAUUCGGACAGAAAAUGGAUUUUAACCACAUCAUAGAAGAAGCAUCAGAAAAUACUCCUGUAACUAAAAAAGAUAUUGAUUUGCUUGAGAAAAGGAUAUUGGACCGUAUAAAACAGUCGGAAAAUAAAAUACUGAAAGAAAUAGACCACAAUCAAAAAUCCGUAAAGAGGGCCCUGACACGAAUUUUGCAAGAAACAAAGCAGACUACAAAGACAAGCCACAAAUCACGAAGUGAGCUGCUCCUGAAAGUUCCAUUUGAUAACUUGGAACAAUUUCAAAAUUUUGAAAAAGAUAUACAGGAGCAUUCCAGAAAAUUUAAUGAACUGAAGGAGGAAUUUUUCACAGUAUCUGUCCAUACAGCUGAAAAGUUCGUAAAAAAUGCUUGGCGCCAAAUUUUUACCGAUGGUGUUGCGCAGAAUUUGUGUUGGAAGGGUACGAAGGAUAAAAUGGCUGUGAGACCCUUAAGUGUAACAGCUGCCUUAAAAAUUAUAGUUCUUCACAUUUCCGAAAUUUUACAAAACUAAUUAUUUUGUUUUAGGUACAUUUUCGUCUAAAUUCCCUCAUGCGACAGAUAUAGAUUUUGAGCGCACCUCUAGCAUGCUAAAGGACGCCACAUGAAGAAAAAGGCAUACGACUCCAAAAAAACAAAAACGUAAAAAUUAAAUUUAAC